UGCAAUCAUAACUAGUCCUGCCUAUUUG
rnacentral:sRNA from 1 species